UAUCUGGAAAGGGAAUGAAGGUAAAAUGAGGCCAUUAGGGUGGGCUUUAAUCUAAUCUGACCGGUGUCCUUACAGAAAGAGAUUAGAACACAGACAUGGACAGAGAGAAGGCCCCAUGAAGGCACAAGUUGAAGGCGGCCAUCUACAAACCAAGGAGAGAAGCCUUCGAAGAAACCAACCCCACAGACACUUGAUCUCAGAUCCUCAGAAGUGUGAGAAAAGCAGCAGGUUUAUAUGCAAUGACACCCGGGUCUGGUGUGGGGAGGAUUGGAGGUCACCAGCAUCACAGGUCACGUGACGAGAGCAAGCCCUCUGAUUCCACCAAACCCACUGGAUUAACAAAAACCUGAAAGCAAAAUAACACAAAAUGAUAUCCCCGCAUGAGCUACUAUUAGACUUUGCAACCUACAAUUACACCAGUUCAAUCUAAAUGCCCCCAAACAUAAUUUCAUUAAUGCAAGCCGUGUCAGAACUGGUAAAUAUUUUCUCUUCUUGGAUUUUCUGUUAUUAUUAGUUUUCAGCCGAGAAUGAUGAAGCAGGCACAGGCCACCUGAACAAGGUAGGGGGGAGCCCACCACCCAGUCGAGAUGACAGGCAAGGGAGGGGCUGUCAGAGGAAUGAAGUGGACAACUGGAAAAGUCGAUUUGGAGAGGAAAAAAAAGAAAAAACGAGAAGGAGCAGAGAAGAGAGAAGGGGUUCAAGGAGGAAUUCCGCAGGCAAGUAUGUUGAGCUGUGCCGGGGGGCGCACGCCUGUGGCUGGUACCCCCUAGGGAACUGACAAGCGGGGUCCCCACAAAGCGGAGCGCCGUCUGCGGGUGCAGGAUCUGGACCUCAGAGCUGCUUGAAAGAGCAGCGUGCAAGACAUCCGACUCAAACCCUUUAAAGAGAUUUCCUCCUGUGACAGAAUCCUUGGGCCGAUACCGAU